AUGCACUCCGUUCUCCAACUCCUGAAAUACCUCUGCAGUUGCUGGAGAAAAGGGCCCGAAGGUCACCGUUUUCAGAUAGAAGCUGCCAUACCUGCGCCCGGCAAGGUCUCCUUGUCCCGCCGGGGCCGGUGAGGCUCUGGGGGCUUUGCCCCCGCCGGGCAGCUGGUAGAGAAGAGACGUGUUUCACCUCCCUGAUGGUCUGGACCAGUCUGGAAGAGAUGGAGACGCUGUGGCCAAGUGCAGUCUCUCUCGGGGUCUCUCCCCGCCCGGGUGGACACGGCGCUCCCUCCUCUGUCCCUGGGGUUUAGCAGCCGCUCUGGGCAGCCAUGCCGCCCUCGCCUGCGUCCUGCGGCCGUCCCGAGGUGUCACGCUGUCAACAACACAAAGUCGU
rnacentral:lncRNA from 1 species